ensembl:lncRNA
GUGACACAGCUCCUGCUGUAAUUCGUAAAUCCCAAGAAUGAAGGUGGGGAGUGCUUAUGUAAUUAUCCCAAGGACAUUGUUUCUCAAGAUAUUGUCGAUGAAUUUCACACCACAGAAUCAAGAAAUUUGGUAAAAAUUCAGAUUCCAGAGCUUCUGAAUCACAUCUUUUGCUUUUCUAGAGCAUGGAAACUUCUCAAUAUAGAGUGCCAGUAAAAGUACGUGAUGACAAUGAUGAGUGCAGCUGCCAGGCUUCAGGGACACAGUUCAUCUGGAAGGUGGCUACAAGAGGAUUUCAUUCGCUGAUCUGCUGAAGUCACUCCUCGUUCCUCUGCGGACGUCCUCCCCCAGGCGGUGCCACAGAUUUCCACAAGCAUGCCUUAGAGAGACUUCUGUAUUGGCCUCAUCGGAUGCCUUUUUGGUUUUUUGUACUCGAGAUUGAACACAGGGAAUGAUAGACUUCAUCAAAAACCCUUUUAAAACCUUAUUUUGAGACAGAGUUUUCAUAAGUUGCUCAUGCUGUCCUUAAACUUCCAGUCCUCCUGCCACAGUCUCCCAAGUAGCUAAGAUUAC